AUUGAACGCUGGCGGCAUGCCUUACACAUGCAAGUCGAACGGCAGCACGGGGCAACCUGGUGGCGAGUGGCGAACGGGUGAGUAAUGCAUCGGAACGUGCCAUUGAGUGGGGGAUAACGUAGCGAAAGUUGCGCUAAUACCGCAUAUUCUGUGAGCAGGAAAGCAGGGGGACCGCAAGGCCUUGCGCUCUUUGAGCGGCCGAUGUCAGAUUAGCUAGUUGGUGAGGUAACGGCUUACCAAGGCGACGAUCUGUAGCGGGUCUGAGAGGAUGAUCCGCCACACUGGAACUGAGACACGGUCCAGACUCCUACGGGGGGCAGCAGUGGGGAAUUUUGGACAAUGGGCGCAAGCCUGAUCCAGCCAUGCCGCGUGAGUGAAGAAGGCCUCGGUUGUAAGCACUUUCAGCGAGGAGGAAAGGGU
rnacentral:rRNA from 1 species